rnacentral:lncRNA from 1 species
GCCCAUGUUGAAGGCCUGUUUCCUAGUCUACACACUGGAGACUUACUUGUUCCUUACCCUUCGCCUAGGGGAAAGUCCCUGGACUUUGGGCAGAGAGUGCUGUGUACAUGCACACACAGACAUUCCCAGCUUUCCACUGUAAACUCCUCUGAAAGAUGACUCUCAAAUCUUUAUUACCAGCCCAGAUUCCCCUCCUGACUCUCUCCUAAUUCAAACUUAUUACCCCAUACUAGGUGGGCAAUAUAUGCAAUUAUAUAGAUAAUCAAACCUGAC